GGUUGGAUCAUUAACAAUGAUUGCUUUUGAAUAGAGUUCCCAUUUAAGGUUACCGCUAAUGGUUGAGCUCUAUUCAUUAGCACAAACACCUGUGCACUGUAAUGUUUUUUGGUAGUAAUGAGUCGACUUGCAAAGGUUGAAUCAGAGCUACCAGCCAUAUCAACCCAUGUUAAUAUUUAGCUGAAUAUAAUAUUAAAAUUAUAAACAACUUUUGACAACGGAUCUCUUGGCUCUCGCAACGAUGAAGAACGCAGCGAAAUGCGAUACGUAAUGUGAAUUGCAGAAUUCCGUGAAUCAUCGAAUCUUUGAACGCACAUUGCACUCUAUUUCGGUAGAGUAUGCCUGUUUGAGAAUCUAAAGUAUCUAUUCACUGUUUAUUUCCUUUGGGAAGUAAACAGCGAGAUAUGAACCUUCCGAUGCCGUACACGGUGGUUCGAAAUCUAUAGCUGGUUUGGCUUUUCAGGUGCUUGACCUGGUACAAAGUCGACUGAAAAGUAUUUGAAUAGAGUGUCUUUACAGACUAUCUCUUCCUAUUGCUUAUUAAGCGACAGUGCUAGUUAGCUUGACUAACCAAGUCGGUCCAAAAACUAAAAGGGCUUGUACUUUCGAGUGCAGGUCCUUGAACCAUGGUCUCAAAUCAGGUAGGAUUACCCGCUGAACUUAAGCAUAUCAAUAAGCGGAGGAAAAGAAACUAACAAGGAUUCCCCUAGUAACGGCGAGUGAAGCGGGAAUAGCUCAAAUUUGAAAUCUCACUUCGGUGCGAAUUGUAGUUUAGAGAAACGUUUUCGGUGCAAGUCCACGGUACAAGUUCUUUGGAACAAGGCAUCACAGAGGGUGAAAAUCCCGUCUUUGACCGUGGCUCUUGCUCCAUAUGAUACGUUUUCCAAGAGUCGGUUUGUUUGGGAAUGCAGACCAAAAUGGGUGGUAAAUACCAUCUAAAGCUAAAUAUUGGCGAGAGACCGAUAGCGAACAAGUACCGUGAGGGAAAGAUGAAAAGAACUUUGAAAAGAGAGUUAAACAGUACGUGAAAUUGUCAAAAGGGAAACGCUUGAAACCAGUAUUGCUUCGCAAGUCAACAUCAGUUUGACUCGGACCAAAAAGCUUUAGGAACGUAGCCUCUCGGGGUGUUAUAGCCUAUAGUCAUGCUCUGGGUUGGACUGAGGACUGCAGUGUUAUUUGGGGCUUUGCCCACACCAACACUUUGGAUGUUGACGAAAUGGUUUUAAACGACCCGUCUUGAAACACGGACCAAGGAGUCUAACAUAUAUGCGAGUAUUUGGGUGGUAAACCCUUUUGCGUAAUGAAAGUGAAAAGGUGGGAUUCUUUAUUGAUGCACCAUCGACCGCGCCAGAUUAUUACUAUCUCGGCGUGAGUAUGAGCAUACAUGCUGGGACCCGAAAGAUGGUGAACUAUGCCUGAAUAGGGUGAAGCCAGAGGAAACUCUGGUGGAGGCUCGUAGCGGUUCUGACGUGCAAAUCGAUCGUCAAAUUUGGGUAUAGGGGCGAAAGACUAAUCGAACCAUCUAGUAGCUGGUUCCCUC
rnacentral:misc_RNA from 1 species